GUCUUAUUGAAAAUAAUUUUAAGUCGAUCUGCCCAAUGAUUUAAAUUAAUUAAAUGGCUGCAGUAUAAUUAACUGUACAAAGGUAGCAUAAUCAAUUGUUUUUUAAUUAAAAACUAGAAUGAAAGAAUUAAUGAGAUAUAUACUGUCUCAUAUAUAUAAAAUAAAUUUAAAUUUUUAGUAAAAAUGCUAAAAUUUUUUUAUGGGACGAUAAGACCCUAUAGAAUUUUAUAUUAAUAUUUAAUUAAUUAUUUAAUUAUAAUAUUAAUAUUUAAUUGGGAGGAUUAGUAAAUUUAAUAAACUUUAUUUUUAAAAUAAACUUUAAUUUUAGAAUAUAUUUUGAUCUUUUAUUAAAAAUUAAAAAAAUAAAUUACCUUAGGGAUAACAGCGUAAUAUCUUUUUAAAGAUCAUAUUAAUAAAGAUGUUUGCGACCUCGAUGUUGAAUUAAGAUAAAUUUUAGAUGUAGAAAUCUAAAUAUUAAGUCUGUUCGACUUUUAAAAUCUUACAUGAUUUGAGUUCAAAUCGACGUAAGU
rnacentral:rRNA from 1 species